rnacentral:rRNA from 1 species
UGAGGAAUAUUGGUCAAUGGGCGAGAGCCUGAACCAGCCAAGUAGCGUGCAGGAUGACGGCCCUAUGGGUUGUAAACUGCUUUUAUAUGGGAAUAAAGUGAGGGACGUGUCCCUUAUUGCAUGUACCAUAUGAAUAAGGACCGGCUAAUUCCGUGCCAGCAGCCGCGGUAAUACGGAAGGUCCGGGCGUUAUCCGGAUUUAUUGGGUUUAAAGGGAGCGUAGGCUGUCUAUUAAGCGUGUUGUGAAAUAUACCGGCUCAACCGGUGGCUUGCAGCGCGAACUGGUCGACUUGAGUAUGCAGGAAGUAGGCGGAAUUCAUGGUGUAGCGGUGAAAUGCUUAGAUAUCAUGACGAACUCCGAUUGCGCAGGCAGCUUACUGUAGCAUAACUGACGCUGAUGCUCGAAAGUGCGGGUAUCAAACAGG